rnacentral:misc_RNA from 1 species
GAUGAAGAACGUAGCGAAAUGCGAUAAGUAGUGUGAAUUGCAGAAUUCAGUGAAUCAUCGAAUCUUUGAACGCACAUUGCGCCCCUUGGUAUUCCAUGGGGCAUGCCUGUUCGAGCGUCAUUUGUACCUUCAAGCUCUGCUUGGUGUUGGGUGUUUGUCUCGCCUCUGCGUGUAGACUCGCCUCAAAACAAUUGGCAGCCGGCGUAUAGAUUUCGGAGCGCAGUACAUCUCGCGCUUUGCACUCAUAACGACGACGUCCAAAAGUACAUUUUUACACUCUUGACCUCGGAUCAGGUAGGGAUACCCGCUGAACUUAAGCAUAUCAAUAAGCGGAGGA